rnacentral:rRNA from 1 species
UGCCAGCAUCCGCGGUAAUACUGAUGGGGCUAGCGUUUUUCAGAAUGACUGGGCGUAAAGCGCGCGUAGGCGGCCUGUCGAGUCGGGCGUGAAAGCCCGGGGCUCGACCCCGGAGGUGCGUUCGAGACUGGCAGUCUUGAGUUCGGGAGAGGUGAGUGGAAUUCCUAGUGUAGAGGUGAAAUUCGUAGAUAUUGUGAAGAAAACCAGUGGCGAAGGCGGCGCCCUGGCACGGUACUGACGCUGAGGCCCGAAAGCGUGGGGAGCAAACAGGAUUAGAUA